rnacentral:rRNA from 1 species
UACGUAGGGUCCGAGCGUUGUCCGGAGUUACUGGGCGUCACGCGCGCGCAGGCGGCUUCAUAAGUCUGGCGUGAAAGCCCCCGGCUCAACCGGGGAGGGUCGUCGGAGACUGUGGAGCUUGAGGGCGGUAGGGGCUGGUGGAAUUCCCGGUGUAGUGGUGAAAUGCGUAGAGAUCGGGAGGAACACCCGUGGCGAAGGCGGCCAGCUGGGCCGACCCUGACGCUGAGGCGCGAAGGCGUGGGGAGCGAACCGG